rnacentral:lncRNA from 1 species
GGUCAGCCAUGUGGACCAUUAAACUGUCUGGAAUAUGCUCGCUGACAAAUGGGAGCUCAGAGCUAAGCUGAAAUUGAAGCCAGUUAUGAAGCAGAACGGCCAGAUGCAACCAGCCUGCACAAAUCUUACAAAUCAAAUGAUUAACAGACGUCUUCCAGGCUCUACUUGGUGAAUCCUGUGGCAGACCCGCUACAAGAUUUUGGCUUUUCUGUUGACCAGUGUUCCAAACAAUUAAAACCAAACCUCCACAUUCGAUUUGGAAUCAUUCUGAGACAAGACAUCAGGGAGCUGUUUCUGGACGUCGCUCUCUUCAGUCAGGGGUCCUCCAUCCUGAACUUCUCCUACCCCAUCUGCGAGGCGGAUCUGCCCAAGUUUUCCUUCUGCGGAAGAAGGAAAGGAGGUAGGUGUCUGGCUGGCUGACUGCUGGGCUGAGACCCAGAGCGAGGCAGGUGGACAGGAGCGGAGUCAGGACCCCAAGGCGGAGUCUGGUUGUCCCCGACUCCCACCUGUGGACACCCUGAAUGUCGCUUAGCAACGCGCAUCCUGUAAACCACCCCGCUGGGGCCGACCUCACUGGGCCGAGUGGGGUCAGCAUCGUCACCAAACGAAACGUGCCUAUCAGGGGUUUACAAAGAGACACGUGGGCUGUGGAUGGUGGCACCUUAUAGAAAAUUGCUGGUGAGCCCACUGAGAUUCAAAGUGCUCCCAGACUCCUCCUCAGCCAUCUCUUUAGCGGCAGGGUCCCUAAGUGGACGCCAGGGAAGAGAAAGUGAAGUUUUCUAAAUGUCACUGCUCAACCGUCGUGGUUCAGUGAGUCAGUGGCUGAUGGGGACAUGAGGUAUCUAGCGGCAAAGGACAGAAGCAUGAAACCCACCACGUUCUCUCUUCUUUCUCCAAUUCGCUAACCCCAGCCCCCUGCUGGACUUACCCCCGAAGAGCACAGGCGCCUCUCUCCAGCCUGUCCCCUCUCCUCUCCUCCGUGUCCUCACCGGCCACCUUCACCACGAUGCCGAGCUGCCUCUUUCUUCACCUCCACCCAGGGUUUGAUCUGUGAUGGUCCUUCCCCGGAAGCUGGUCUCGUCCCCCUUCCUCUCCCCUCCCUCCCCCACCGCUUAGCCUCCAAUGCCUGUUCCCCCUUUGUCCCUCACCCAGACCCAACUUAAGCAUCACCUUCUCUCUGAAACCUUCCUCCAACCUCCAGCCACAUGAAAUGCUCCCUCUGGAUCUUCCUGGAGCACUAUGUCCCCACCUAUCUAAGCUGGAACUGUACUCUAGAGUUGGCCUGUGCACACGCGCACACGUGCACACGUGUGUUUCUCUCUUGAAGUCAGGACACUUCACACUGUGAGCCCUUUGAAGGCAGGGCUAUUUCUGGUUCCUUUCAGUCUCUGCUGACUUGACAAAGAGAGCCUGGCACAGAAUAACGACGCGAUAAGUAUUUUAUUGAAUUUGCAGGUGGUAGAUUGAAUGCAAGUUUACCAGCCCACCUCCAAAGUGACCAUCGGGACACCUAUACAGGCCACAGUCACGAAGCACAGCCAGUCAUAGCUAAUGUCUCAAUCCUUCAUGUUUAAGACGACCAAACUGUUUUCUCCUCUGUGCAUGGUUUUGAUAAGAGAAACAACACAGAAGAGUUAUUAGUCUCCAAAACGGAGAUGCCCAGUUCAGUUCGGCAGCUUGAAAGGCUGGUGUCGAUCUUAUUUGAAUGGUGGGCAGCCCUUCAGCCAUUCAUCAUCUUUCUUGCUAUAGCAUUGAUUACUGAGCAGGCUGAGAAGCCGAACUUGGGGAAUUGCCAGGAAAUUUUAAAUAGAAUAAAACAAUCAGAAAAGUCAUAACGCAAAUGCUGCAUAAACAAAUGAUUUGUGUAAAUUAGACAAGCCAGGAAAAACUAAAAUCUUACACUCGGAGGCUUCUUGGGUUAUUACACUUUUUUUUUUUUAACCCACCUACAAACCUACUGAAGGAAUGAUUCUCUUGAAAGGAGGUGCUAAGUUCUAAGACCAGAAAGGGGGCAAAUGGCACCAAGGAGAAUUGAAGUCAACUCAAAUCCAAGUGCAGGUGGCUGGUGACAUACUAAACAGGAUGCUGAGUGCCUUCUGGGGUCCUUUUAGCAGAGCAGUGAGAAAACCCACUCCAGGGUU